rnacentral:rRNA from 1 species
GACGAACGCUGGCGGUAUGCUUAACACAUGCAAGUCGAACGAGAAGUCUUUUAUUGACCCUUCGGGGGAUAUAAGAGACAGACAGUGGCGAACGGGUGAGUAACGCGUGGGCAACCUACCUAUCGGAGCGGGAUAGCCUCGAGAAAUCGGGAGUAAAACCGCAUAACACGGAUAUAUCGCAUGAUGAAUCCGUCAAAACUCCGGUGCCGAUAGAUGGGCCCGCGUCUGAUUAGCUAGUUGGUAAGGUAAGGGCUUACCAAGGCAACGAUCAGUAGCCGGUCUGAGAGGGCGAACGGCCACACUGGAACUGAGACACGGUCCAGACUCCUACGGGAGGCAGCAGUGGGGAAUAUUGCGCAAUGGGGGCAACCCUGACGCAGCAAUACCGCGUGAGUGAAGAAGGUUUUCGGAUCGUAAAGCUCUGUUAUUGGGGAAGAAGCAGUGACGGUACCCAAUGA